GAUGAACGCUGGCGGCGUGCCUAAUACAUGCAAGUCGAGCGAACGGACGAGAAGCUUGCUUCUCUGAUGUUAGCGGCGGACGGGUGAGUAACACGUGGAUAACCUACCUAUAAGACUGGGAUAACUUCGGGAAACCGGAGCUAAUACCGGAUAAUAUUUUGAACCGCAUGGUUCAAAAGUGAAAGACGGUCUUGCUGCCACUUAUAGAUGGAUCCGCGCUGCAUUAGAUAGUUGGUAAGGUAACGGCUUACCAAGGCAACGAUGCAUAGCCGACCUGAGAGGGUGAUCGGCCACACUGGAACUGAGACACGGUCCAGACUCCUACGGGAGGCAGCAGUAGGGAAUCUUCCGCAAUGGGCGAAAGCCUGACGGAGCAACGCCGCGUGAGUGAUGAAGGUCUUCGGAUCGUAAAACUCUGUUAUUAGGGAAGAACAUAUGUGUAAGUAACUGUGCACAUCUUGACGGUACCUAAUCAGAAAGCCACGGCUAACUACGUG
rnacentral:rRNA from 1 species